rnacentral:ribozyme from 1 species
ACGCUCAUUCAGUUCCCACCUCUCUCCUGUUGACUGUUGGUGGUGGUUCUUUGUUCCGUGCUUCUUUGUUAAUUUGGCCUAAUUGUAAGGUUAGUGAAGUGACGCACGAAUUAGGCCAAAUGAAACAAAGAAGAAAGGAACAAGAACCGAAUGAAGAAUGAAAACAAAAGAGCAAAAGAAGAAGAAAGCGUGCUUCACUGACCAACCAUUACCUUUCUUCAUUCUUUUGUGCUUUUGCUUUCUUUUCUUCAUUCAUCCUCACUAUCCACCUCAUUUCCAGAGAUUCGUGUGUGCUUUCUUCCUUCUUCACAUUUGGCUUAAUUCGUCCCUCAUUUCAUUACAAUUAAGCCAAAUGAGAAGAGAAGA